CCCAUGCAACAGAAGAGGUGAGGUUGUACUGUACUCGAAAAUAGAGCGACCUAUAUUGACCGAUGAGGCUGUAAAAAUUCAGCUAAAUGUCAAUGAAACCAAAGUGACAUUGUUACCACCUGUAAGCCCCAAAUCAGGAGAUGUUUUUAUUUUCACUUGUGAACGAACCCAGGAAAAACAAAACUGGAGGGCAGAUCACAUAAUCUGGAAGAACCAAGGCACGCGGAGUCUUCUUACUUCCCAUGGAUGUGUGAAGGUGAGGUAUUUUAUAGUAAAACAUGAAGGCAAGGAAUUCCGGAAACGGGUUUAUGAGUUAUGCAGACAGAGGAGUCCCUAUUUUCUGGUACAUUACCUUGGAGAUGAAAGCGCCUAUGUUCCAAGACCUCAUGGGAAUUCCAUCGAGUCCCAAAGGCCUUUCAUAAGAACUGCUCCUUCAGUUCUGCAUGAUAUCAGAGAGAGGAGACGGGAGCCCCCAGAAAAAGUAUACCUUGAUAUGACCAAUAAACAAGGUGACAGCCAAUCACAUAAGGGGAGUCAUCAACCCAGGGACAAGGAACAAGUCAAAAAUACAAUAAAACGUGCUCGGCUGAAUGACAUGCUUCAUUCAAACGACCUAAUUGCAACUUACAUCUUGUGUGACUACCUUGAAGGAUUUGUAAGAGACAUGCGCAUUCAUCCAGAGCUCUUUCUUUUAGCAAUUUUACCUGAAAUGGUAGAUGAGCUAAGGAUUAUGAUGGCAAAUACUGAAGACAGUGCUCCUCAUAUGUUACACUACGAUACCACCUUUGACCUGGGAGAUUUCUAUGUGUCUCCUCUCCUUUUCCGCCACAACUCCUUUAAGGAAUGUCCAGUUAUUCCUUUGGCAUUCCUAAUACACCAGACCAGAUCCAAAAAAACAGACACAGAGUUUUUCAGGAUUUUAUCACAGCUGCUCCCAGAAAUCAAUUCUAACAGAUUUGUCAUUUGUACUGAUAGGGAGGCUGCAAUUGAGAGUGCCAUUUGGGAUAUCCUUCCAAAUCUACCCAUGGUCAACUGCUAGAACCAUUUAAUGCAAAAUGUCAAAUUCAAAGUGAGAGACAUGAGUGGAGAAAAGGAGGAUGCCGAAAUAUAUACCGGCCACAUCAGGGAUCUCCUUGAAGCAGAAACUCAAAACGACUGGGAGCUCAAACUAAAAGCCCACUCUCAAAACUGGAGCUUACCAUUUGAGCAAUACUUUAAACUGCACUUAGAAGUCCCCAUAAAAAAGUCUGCCAGAUUUGCCCUCCAAGAGCUUGGCCUGCCAUUCUCCACAAUCACAAACAAUCCAGCAGAAAGUUUCAACUCAAAACUCAAACGAAUGGUGGACUGGAAACAGGUCAGGCCUGACAAGAUGCUGCUGACUUUGUUUGAGCUGCAAACAUUUUACCUGAAUGAGAUCCUGAGAGGCCGCUGCAGCCUUGGAAACUACCACCUCAUUAACAAUAACAUUGCAUGUACGUUAAGCAAUACCACAUUUCCACCAGACGUUUUGUCUAUGGACAAUAUUGUUGCCCUCUAUGAGGAUAGAUUAACGAUUGAAGAUUUUGAAAAACAGAGAGAGCUGGAUGAGCAGGCAACAAAAUCAAAACAAACAAUGGCAACUUUACUAGUUGGUAAACAAAAAAUUGUACUGGAACCCUGGACACAAUCAUUCAUUGUGAUCGGAUGGAAGGGCCAGAAAUAUUUAACAACUGUCCACCCUAAAGAGUAUUGCACAUGUAAUACAAUUUCACAAUGCUGUCACAUUUUGGCAGUCAGGCAGGCUAUUGGUUUGGGAAACAGAAAGAAAAAAACACCCUACAGAAGCUGGAGAGGAAAGCUGGUCAAAAACGUUCAGGCCUGAAAGGCCCAACAAAAGAAAUGCAGUACCUACCAGCUUCUGAUUCAAAAGCUGAGACAACAGGUCUCUCAAACCAUCCAUCCUGUCCAGUCAAUGCCCAUAUCCAGGUGAGUGUAAAGGUAUUUUUCAAAUGUAACAUUUGUUGCAAUUGACCUGUUGUCAGUUAUUGAAGGUUUACAAACAGAAACCACAGCAACACCAUCCUAAUGUAAUAUUAAGUGUGGUCAUAUCACAUCUAUUUGCAUAUGUUAUACAGAUGUUUUUGCAAAAGUGAGUGCAAAUGUUAUAUUGUUUUGCGAUGAUGUGAUGUUCAAACAAUUAUUUCCAUUAUAUUUAAUAUAUGAACGCUUAUAAUAAAGCUUUGUUAUUUUUUAUCAUGGGUUCCACCAACCAGAAAGGAUGCCAAGCAUGAUGCAUCAGAAAACAUUGUGACUGAAAGCAGUUUGCUUGAGACAUCACAAAACACAAAUUCUGACACAGGGGUCAUUGGUCCUGUCUAUGAUCUGCUUGAGUCAUCACAGUCCUCAGAGGAAACUUCUGGUGACAUGGAUAAAGGUGGCCAUCUGAUGAAGGUUAAGCUACUUUGGGAAAUGAAACCCAAUGAAACAGUUGUUGCCAGCAUUGACCACACAGGAUCAUUUCUCUUAAAACUCUGCGAGUUUCAAACCCUCAAACCACACACGUGGCUUUGUGGAGAGGCCAUAGACUAUUAUUUAAGAACAAUGAAAAAAGAACUGGACCUGGCCAACAAAAUCUUUGUCUUGGACCAUUUGGUAACAAUGGCUGUUGUACUCGGACAACGCAAUGUCGUGAAACAUCAACUGAUGAAAACAGUGCGUUUGGAAGAGUUUGAUGCCAUGAUUGGUGUUGUGAAUGUGAAAAACAAGCAGUAUUUCAUUUAAGUAUCUACAUAAACCAAAUCAAUCUGUGCUUUGGAUGGACCCAUUGGGGCAUAAAGAGAUGGAGAAGGCAGCAAAGGCUGGAGAAAGUUUCCGGGAGUUCUUCGAACUACGUAAACAACGGCUGAGGAGAAAAGAGUGGUCUGACAUUGGGUGGAAACCCAUCCUUAUUAAACACUCACUCCAGAAAGACGGCCAUAGUUGUGGAGUGUUUGUGAUGGAGAUGGAUAAGCAGCUAAUGAACUACUACCCCAGACUACCUGUAGACAUUCCAGUUGAUGUUUCAAAAAUAUCCACCUACAGGAUGGAAAUGGCUGCCGAAAUACUUUCUGGAACAGUGCCUCUUGAGGAUUCUUGUCAGUGGUGUGGCCAGAAUAAGUCCAAAGAUGGGGACAGGUACUGGGUGCAGUGUGGAACAUGCGAGAAAUGGCAGCAUAUCACCUGCACUGGCCUGUCCUACAAGGAAUACUGUAACAUAAAAAAGGUUUUUUGGCAGUGUUUUAUAUGUAGAACAGCGGACCAGUAAUGUACGCCAUGGGAAAUGAGAAAUUGCAAUAUUGAAAAGACGUCAUGUACUGACUUUUUUUUUUAUUUACCUAAAGUACCUUUUUUUACAUAGGUUUCUAAUUUUUUGAAACACUAAUUUUUGGGUUCCAUUGGCUGUGAGCCAUAAUCAACAACAAAUGGAAUAAACGCUUAUAAUAGAUCUCAUUGUGUGUAAUACAUCAUUUUGUUCACAUGAAUUAUUUCACUUUGUGUGUAAUACAUAAAUUUUUUUUUAAUGAAUUAAUUAAAUGAAGUAACUUGUCAAUUAUAUUGUAAUUUUUUUGAGAUGCACUAGUGUACAUAUAUCACAAGAUAAAGCCCUUGGUGUGUAUGUAUAUAUAUAUAU